AUAUUUACAUGGCAGGAGGGUUACCAUGAUCGCAAAGGUGGUUUUCCCAGUGUGAGGCUCAUCCAUUCCACUCUGGAUGGACGGACCUCUGUGACUUCCCCAAAUGUGGGAAACUCGCCCACACGAUUGGCGGCAGUGGGGGACUGCAAUCACACCUCCCCCAA
ensembl:snRNA U1 U1 spliceosomal RNA